GGUUCAGUUAAAAAACUUUCAAAAAGGGAGGAUGCAAUCUUCUACUUUUGUUUUGUGAAUCAAUCUUAUACUUAAUUUAGGAGCUCUCCCUUUUCAUUGUUAAGAUCGUCAUCACUUCCUAUAUAUUAUGCAACUACAAAGUAGAAUCAUGUGAGUGUGUAUUUACCCCUUUAUUCAAGACAAAACAUGCAACAAGACAUG
rnacentral:lncRNA from 1 species